CUGAAGCCGCACUUGCCUGUAUAAUCUGUUUCCCUGGAAACCCAUGGAAGUCUCAAUCACUGCAUGUUACUCACUGGCAUAAAAUGGUGAGCACCCUUUUCUAUAUUUGGAUGCCAAUGCACACAACUGCAUAAAACUUUCCAAGUUAAAAGGUAAAAAACAACAACAACACUUCUACAUGUUUGAGACCAUUUCAGAUCUGCUACAACACCAUCAUUUUGGAGAAAUAUGGGAUGCUUUCCACAAAACCAUUAAUCCAAGAGUCCAAACUCACCGUUG